AUUGAACGCUGGCGGAAUGCUUUACACAUGCAAGUCGAACGGCAGCACGGGGCAACCUGGUGGCGAGUGGCGAACGGGUGAGUAAUACAUCGGAACGUGCCCAAUCGUGGGGGAUAACGUAGCGAAAGUUACGCUAAUACCGCAUACGAUCUACGGAUGAAAGCGGGGGAUCGCAAGACCUCGCGCGAAUGGAGCGGCCGAUGUCAGAUUAGGUAGUUGGUGGGGUAAAGGCUCACCAAGCCAACGAUCUGUAGCUGGUCUGAGAGGACGACCAGCCACACUGGAACUGAGACACGGUCCAGACUCCUACGGGAGGCAGCAGUGGGGAAUUUUGGACAAUGGGCGCAAGCCUGAUCCAGCCAUUCCGCGUGCAGGAUGAAGGCCUUCGGGUUGUAAACUGCUUUGUACGGUAACGAAACGGCGAGCUCUAAUACAGUUUGCUAAUGACGGUACCGUAAGAAUAAGCACCGGCUAACUACGUAGCCAGCAGCCGCGGUAAU
rnacentral:rRNA from 1 species